UGGCCGUGUGACCCUUCUUUUGGCAGAGCAU
rnacentral:sRNA from 1 species